rnacentral:rRNA from 1 species
CGCCAGCUAAGGUCCCAAAGUCAUAGUUAAGUGGGAAACGAUGUGGGAAGGCCCAGACAGCCAGGAUGUUGGCUUAGAAGCAGCCAUCAUUUAAAGAAAGCGUAAUAGCUCACUGGUCGAGUCGGCCUGCGCGGAAGAUGUAACGGGGCUAAACUAUGCACCGAAGCUGCGGCAGCGACACUAUGUGUUGUUGGGUAGGGGAGCGUUCUGUAAGCCUGUGAAGGUGUGUCGUGAGGCAUGCUGGAGGUAUCAGAAGUGCGAAUGCUGACAUAAGUAACGAUAAAGCGGGUGAAAAGCCCGCUCGCCGGAAGACCAAGGGUUCCUGUCCAACGUUAAUCGGGGCAGGGUGAGUCGACCCCUAAGGCGAGGCCGAAAGGCGUAGUCGAUGGGAAACGGGUUAAUAUUCCCGUACUUGGUGUUACUGCGAAGGGGGGACGGAGAAGGCUAUGUUGGCCGGGCGACGGUUGUCCCGGUUUAAGCGUGUAGGUGUGUGUUCCAGGUAAAUCCGGUUCACUUUAACACUGAGGCGUGAUGACGAGGCACUACGGUG